UACGGAGGGUGCGAGCGUUAAUCGGAAUAACUGGGCGUAAAGGGCACGCAGGCGGUGACUUAAGUGAGGUGUGAAAGCCCCGGGCUUAACCUGGGAAUUGCAUUUCAUACUGGGUCGCUAGAGUACUUUAGGGAGGGGUAGAAUUCCACGUGUAGCGGUGAAAUGCGUAAGAUGUGGAGGAAUACCGAAGGCGAAGCAGCCCCUUGGGAAUGUACUGACGCUCACUUGUGCGAAAGCGUGGGGAGCAAACAGGAUUA
rnacentral:rRNA from 1 species